rnacentral:hammerhead_ribozyme from 1 species
CGAGUCCCAAACAGGACGAAACGCGCGUC